AAAAUAGCUUUUAUUUUAUGGAAAAACCAUAACAGAUUUUUUGGCCAACCCAAUAAAUAUGUGCACAACAAUGGUGAUGCUGAUAAAUAUAAAAAGUUAUUAACUACAUGAAGAAAUAUUAAAUACCUAAAAACAUAAAUGUAAGAGACAGAUACUAUUGUAUGUAUUACAGAACACAGCAUGUGAUCCUAGAGUAAAUGGCUUCACUUCUAAAGUCUGAGCAAAGAUAAUUUUAUUAACUGAAGAUGACAGUGAUGUCUAAAGAAUGAACAAUUUGAUCUGUCAGUCAAGCUCUAAAAGUCUAUGAUUAUAAAUGGGAAAUAAGAUUAGAGAUACAGAGAGGAAUCAUAUUUCAUUCCUUAAGCAAAUAUAUAUUGAACAUUACCCCCCACCCUGAUUUAGAGGAAGGUCAGUCGGUAUUUUUGUUGUCUUUAGACUUUCAACUGAUUGGAUGAAGUCUACUCACGAUAUGGAAAGUAACCUUGUGUGCUCUGAUUUACUCUGUCUUCCAAUUCAAAUGUUAAUCUCAUCCAGAAAUACCCUCAGAGACACAGCCGGAAUAAUGUUUGACCAAAUACCUAGGCACUGUGUGGCCCCAUCAGGAUGGCACAUACAAUUAACUAGUAUGUCUUAUGGUUGUGUGAGGACAAGUGAACAAAUCUAAAGAGUGUAUAGACCAGGAAUGGAAGAUCUUACCAUAAAUAACAAUAGUUUGCUAGCCUUCCCACCUAUAAAGUGAAAGGCUUGGACUUCUACAAAGCCUGUAAGUCUUAGCAAGUCUUAGAUCUGGUAAGGCAUCUUAGAGACCAUUCAAUCACUCAGUCUCUUCAUUUUACACCUGAGGAAAUGGACAGAGAGCGAGCAAGUGGUUGUAAGAUUAUUCAGUGAAUGGGAGUUCAGAAAUAUGGAAUUCAAGGUCAGCUCUGUACCCUAUCUUCAGUUUCCUCCUCUAUGAAUCAUGAGGGCUUUUAAGUCAUAUGUAUUUAAGUUUUUUCCCCCAGGGUUAUAAUUUUGUACUCUGUGUUUAGGUUUCACAGUCAAGCAGUGGAGUUUUUUUUUACUGUUUUCUUUUGUUGUUUUUCUUUUUAACUCGGUUAUUCUUCAGGUCUUCAUCUCUUGAUUGGUCAUUUGUACUCUGCCUGGAACUUCACUUUCCUCUUUAAUAGUAAUGUUUGUGAACUAAAUUGUCUAUACUUUGAAUGAGAACAAUGGCAAAUUUUAGGAAGUGCUGUUGGUGUCAUUUAGGGGCUUUUAAUGGUCAUGUGCUUUUUCGUUUUACCCCAACCUGCAUGAUGGGGGAUCAAAUGUAGGCCUGUACCUUUGUUAAUACUUUAAGCAUAGAGUUAAACUCAAUUCUGGUUUUAUUAACCUCUUAGCUAACACCUGUAAUGGUGGAGAGCAUUUUGGUGAUUCUACAAUAUGAUGGGCAGGCUUCCUGGGGAGCACCACCACUGUCUUUUUUGCCAUUGGCCUCUUAACAUUAUUUCUCAAAGACACUUAUUUAUCUCUAUUCAUGAACACAGUCAGGUGCACAAUGGUGGACAGUGCAGCAUCUCUUUGAUUGUCUGAGUGCCAGUGGUUAGGAGACAGUAGAAGGCAGUAAGUAGACAAUUCUUAUGUAUAUAUUUGAGAACCAAUAGUUUUAUGAAGCAGAAUCCUCUGCUUGAGAUGUUUUAUUAUAGGCAAUGAUUCAAUCAAAGGAUAAUGGCCAUAGCAAACAAGUAGUUUCAUGAAAUGGAAUUCUAUAAAUCUCUUUUAAAAGUCAUAAUUUGUUAAUUUAGGUUAGACCCUAGACCUUGAUGAAAAGUACCAGUAGAAUAUAUAUCACUGUUUUGAAAUGUAAGGCAUUGCUAUUAAAAUAUUCUUGUGAAAAUUUGGACCUAUUACUUAUCAAAGAUAUCAAGGAAGGCAAUGUAAUAAAAGUAAAAUGAAAUCAGAAGUCAUAGUAAUGGAUUUAUGAGAAUUUAUGUUUGGAAUUAAUAACUUAAGUAGUCAUGAAAUUCUUUUUGCCUCAAUGAAUGUCUCUUUAGUUCCUAAUAUAUACCAUAUUUUGCCAUGUAUAAUGCACACUUUUUUGUCCAAAUUUUGAGGGAAAAAUAAGGAUGUGCAUUCUACAUGGGUAGGUAGUACAUGAAAUACCUUGUAUUUGUUCAUGUGUUUUGUAAUUAUUUGUUACCUAAAAUUUCUUGUACCAUAAUAUGUU